GACAGAGGGUGCAAACGUUGCUCGGAAUCACUGGGCGUAAAGGGCGUGUAGGCGGGAAGGAUAGUCAGAUGUGAAAGCCCUGGGCUCAACCCAGGAACUGCAUUUGAAACUCCCUUUCUUGAGUGUCGGAGAGGAAAGCGGAAUUCCUGGUGUAGAGGUGAAAUUCGUAGAUAUCAGGAGGAACACCGGUGGCGAAGGCGGCUUUCUGGACAGUAACUGACGCUGAGACGCGAAAGCGUGGGGAGCAAACAGG
rnacentral:rRNA from 1 species